ACAGACUCUGCAUGACUCUCAAUACUACGAGGAAAGGAGGCGCGGGUAUGUUUCCCGAGCUGACAUGACUCACACUCUAAUGUGGAUAAACUAGAUAAAUUAGGCACCAUCUUCUGAAGCUUGGACAAGCUAGGAUGUCCUAAACGACUGUGAAGUUGGUCUAGAGGAUCUGCAACUAGACAGGCCUUGGAGGAUGUUAGUGAGUUAAGGUAGUAGAGUCCGUCUGAUUCAAGUCCUGUUCCAAUCGUCUAUCCCGUACUCAGGCCUUGGAGGAUGUUAGUGAGUUAAGGUAGUAGAGUCCUUCUGAUUCAAGUCAUGUUCCAAUCGUCUGUCCUGUACUGCAAUCCUGCAUAAUAAAAGAAUCAUCAAUAAAAUAUAUACCGCAAUGGAGGAAACGAGUCAAACGACGAUGCAAGAUUAAAAGGACAGCCAGGAACAUAAAGAUCGGAAUCUAGAGUGACAGAGGAUAGGAGAUUCGCUUGUCCAACUCCUUUUGCUUUAGUUUGAGACCCAUUAGCUAAAGUAACGUUGGGANNN
rnacentral:lncRNA from 1 species